rfam:Capnocytophaga sp. oral taxon 329 str. F0087 C_spHMPREF9074-1.0_Cont72.1, whole genome shotgun sequence.
AAGGCGGUAUCUGAAAAGCCUAUAAGAGAGUAAGAA